rnacentral:tRNA from 1 species
GCUCAGGUGGUGGAAUUGGUAGACACGCUACCUUGAGGGGGUAGUGGCCUAUGGCUGUGCGGGUUCGAGUCCCGCUCUGAGCACCA